UACGAAGGGAGCUAGCGUUGUUCGGAAUCAUUGGGCGUAAAGAGCGUGUAGGCGGCCAGAUAAGUCCGCUGUGAAAUCUCGAGGCUCAACUUCGAGCUGUCGGUGGAAACUGUCUGGCUAGAGUCCGGAAGAGGAGAAUGGAAUUCCUGGUGUAGCGGUGAAAUGCGCAGAUAUCAGGAAGAACACCCGUGGCGAAGGCGGUUCUCUGGGACGGUACUGACGCUGAGACGCGAAAGCGUGGGGAGCGAACAGG
rnacentral:rRNA from 1 species